rnacentral:lncRNA from 1 species
AAAAAAACACUGUGACAAUGGCACACACCUCUACUAAUUUAGGUAAAACAAGCAGCUAAACCCGCGCGAUGCCGCGGGUUACAAAACAUCUCUGAUCAACAUUGAAUGGGGUUGAUAAUGCCAAAAUAGCCCCUUGAAUAUGUAACAAAGGUGAUGUCCAUCAAGCCUUUGAAAAGAUGCAGUAUACUGCAUAAACAUGGAGUAAUGAGUGACUACAAAUCUGUCAAUUUUGGAUUAAGGCCUUUUUUUCAUAUAAUGCACGGUAAUGAACAAACAACACCUCUAUUCCUAUUUUGGAUUAAGACAUUCAUUCAGAUUACAAAGUGCUGCUUCCGCUUAAAGCUUUCUCUCCUCCCUCGUUUCUAUGACUAAAGAACUUUCACGCCCAUGCAUUAUUUUUUCUGGUUCUGCAGGUUUAUGGGAAUUGGGAUAUGCAAUGGCCUCCGGACUCUCUAAAUUUCCUCUAAAAAAACAAUAACAAAAUUUUUAAAAAAAAAAAACUUAAAUAUUUUCCCUCUCUUCCUCUCCCACUUCGUCUUCCUUCUGCCCGAUGAAAACCAGAAGCACAGUGCUUCCCAAAAUUCCAGUUGUUUCACUCCUGUCUUCCCCAAAUUUACAGGUGUGUUUUAAUUUUCUGUAAUCUGAUUAGAAAUUAUUAAAGAUGAUUACAUGAACCACCGAAUUCACCACCAAAUUUCAACAAAGAAGUUACAAAGCACAAAAAAACAAAAAAAAACAAAAACAAAAACAAAAAAAAUUCAAAUAUUUGGCUUUUGGGUAGUUGAGAAGAAGUGAGAUUUAAUUACCUGUCAAAGGCUAAAUUGGGAGCACGAUGGCCCGGCGAGGAGAUUGAACAGAUGAGGAAGCAAAGAUCGAACAGAUCUCACGAAGCGGAAUUGAAAUCGCCAAUCGAUUUCUGGGUUAAAAUAAACCAGAAGGGUCCGGAAGAGUGAAAACAAAAAGAAGGGAGCAAGAUGACCAACACGUGUGAAACAUGGCACAAGUGAAAUUAAACAAAUCAAGCAGUGU